UACGAAGGGGGCGAGCGUUGUUCGGAAUUACUGGGCGUAAAGGGCGCGUAGGCGGUUCGGUAAGCGUGCGGUGAAAGCCCGGGGCUCAACCCCGGGUCGGCCGUGCGGACUGCCAGACUCGAGCACUGUAGAGGCGGGUGGAAUUCCGGGUGUAGCGGUGGAAUGCGUAGAGAUCCGGAAGAACACCGGUGGCGAAGGCGGCCCGCUGGGCAGUGGCUGACGCUGAUGCGCGACAGCGUGGGGAGCAAACAGG
rnacentral:rRNA from 1 species